rnacentral:sRNA from 1 species
UCUCUCUCUCUCUCUCUCUCUCUCUCUCUCUCUCUAUAAAGAUGUGUCUUCUUUGGAUCUCUGAUCUGAUAGAGACUGAGAAACCAAUAGUAGGGUCGUUAUAAACUCACAAUAUAUACUUAUAUGGGUUUCAGAGUCGUUUACGGGCUGCUGUUCCUGUCCUUGUCGUGUGCCUGCAUCAUGCUCAUUCACCUCAUGCUCCACCCGGUAUUCUACUACACCACCUGAGAGACACUCAGAAGUAACAAGUUGGAGCUGCAGGUGAAACAUGGGAACGCAUGGAAGAUUGAUUUGCCAUGGAGGAGAAAUGUGCCAGAAUUAUGUGAUCGAAAAGCACCAAACAUAAAAUCGGCAUCAUGUGUCUUCCAAAAAGUUAUGUCUACUUACAUAGUAUAUAUACUAUAUGGCAACUUUGCUAAAAAGUAUUUGGGGAAAUUUGGAAAAAUAACCAAAUUUCGGAUCCCAAAUAGAAUUCUAACCAUCAUUUUAAAUUUUUAAUAAUUAUAACCAAAAG